CUCCCAGACCCUCCUACUUCCUGGACAGCAUCCAUGUCGAAACAUGGAUGCUGUCCAGGAAGUAGGAGAGUCUGGGAG